rnacentral:tRNA from 1 species
GCCCCGUAGCUCAACGGAUAGAGCAUCUGACUACGGAUCAGAAGGUUGGGGGUUCGAAUCCCUCCGGGCGCA